GGAUUGUGGCUCAGUGGUAGAGCGCUCACCUAGCACUCGGGAGGCCCUGGGUUUGAUCCUCAGCACCA
rnacentral:tRNA from 1 species